CAUAUAAUAUCACAAUUUGACAGAUUGCAAAAUUGGUCAUAGUACAUAGUACAUAAGUCGACAGUGACGUAAGAUAGUUAAAAAAUAAAUAUGUCCUAUAAAAAGUGAAUAAUCGCUAUUUCUUUUGUAAUAUCUUUUCCAUGAUUAUAAAACAUGUAUUUAAUUUAUAUUAAAAUGCGUAUAUAUUCUUUUUAGUAAUGUUGAGGUUAAGUUUUGUGUGGUAGGAUCAGUGUAUAUACACCGAUAUGGCUCAAGGAAAAUUAAAAGUGAAAGCUAAAGUGCCAUCGACGGUAAAAGGAAAAAAUAAGAACAAAAAAAGUUCUGGUAUUCAAAGACGAAAUAAUGCACCUAUUCAACCAAAAAAGAAGAAAUUUGAAGAAACACAUAAGUUAAAACAAAUGAUUACAAAAACAGUUAACAAAGCAAUGGAAGAUGAAUUGAGAGCAAAAGCUUUAGAAGGAAAAAUAUCACUUACUAGAAAGGAAGCAGUUACCUUGAAAAAGAAAUAAUUUAUGGUAUUAUUUUAAGAUUGAUACUAAAAAAAACUAUUCUUUAUUUUACUGAAAUAAUAAAUGUAAUAUAAAUAUAUAUUUGUAUUGUAAAAUGAACUAUGCUAUAAAGAUUUUUAUACAAUACAAAGAAUAAAAAUAAAUAAGCAAACCAUUUCAAUAUAUAUAUGUCAAAUUUAUUGCUAACAGAGGGAUAUAAGUAACGGGAAAAUAGUAUAAAAUCAUUCAUCUAUUAAGAUUUAAGAUCAUUAUUUUAAUUUGUAUUGUUAUUUCAUAGAAUAAUUCUGAACAUGAAAUCAAUGGCACAGUGACUUAUAGGAUAUAAAUAUAAAAAGAAAAUAAUAAUUUUCAGUGCACCUGCAAAACAUCCCGCAAUAAAUUACUUUUUUGUGCGAUUAUCCGACAAUAGUUUCCUAGAAGGCACAAGGGUUUCGUUUUUAAUUGAUUCACAUCGACGACGAAAAGUUUUCAUUUCGCUGAUAAUGUGCUAAUUACAAAAAUAAACAUUAUUUCACAAGAUAUUUUACAUAACUCAUAUAACAAGGUACAAAAUUGUGAGUUCCAUUUGAUAAAUGUACUAAAUUUUAAUAUAUUAUCUCUUCUUAAUAAACUUCCACUCUAGAUCACAUCGAUUAAGGCUGCGUUACGUAUCGUAUUUUGUAGGCUGAACGCUUCUUUCUAAGUACAAGUUCGUUUAAAAUAUUAUUUGAACUUUAUGGAGAAGCCACCUACAAUGUUAAACACAAAUACAAACUGCAUCAAGAGCGGGACUGAGACAUUCAGAGCGAAUGACACGCUCACUCUGUAAUACCAAUUCCAGGAAUUGGUGGGAAAAACUCCGCGAACAUUAACUGGAGCAAAACUGAACUAAACAUAAAGCGAGGAUUAUAUUUACCACUAAUAAAUGUCCACUUUGUCUGUUUUUACUAA